GAUGAACGCUGGCGGCGUGCCUAAUACAUGCAAGUCGAGCGAACAGACGCGGAGCUUGCUCCUCUGACGUUAGCGGCGGACGGGUGAGUAACACGUGGAUACCCUACCUAUAAGACUGGGAUAACUUCGGGAAACCGGAGCUAAUACCGGAUAAUAUAUUGAACCGCAUGGUUCAAUAGUGAAAGACGGUUUUGCUGUCACUUAUACAUGGAUCCGCGCCGCAUUAGCUAGUUGGUACGUUAACGGCUUACCACGGCGACGAUGCGUAGCCGACCUGAGAGACGGAUCGGCCGCACGGGAGCGGGGCCGCGGUCCAGGCGCCUGCGAGAGGCAGCAGUAGGGAAUCGUCCGCAAUGGGCGAAAGCCUGACGGAGCGGCGCCGCGUGAGUGAUAAAGGUCUUCGGAUCGUAAAGCUCUGUUAUUGGGUAAGAACAAAUGUGUAAGUAACUAUGCACGUCGUGACGGUACCGAAUCAGAAAGCCACGGCUAACUACGUG
rnacentral:rRNA from 1 species